rnacentral:lncRNA from 1 species
AUUUGGGUGAAUUUUGACCACCCCCAAACAGGGAGAUAUGCAGAUUACAUAGAGAGGGGCGGGGGAGCUUUCUGGAGAGGAGAAUAAGAGCUUUGGAGAAGAUGGUAGCCAGCCCCUUUCUUCUGAUCGCCCCCAGCUCCUUCCCAUCAAACAAGGAGGUAUGGUCUCUUCCUUGAUUCGGGGGGUCUGCUCAUGUAGGAGAGUGAGCAAGAUCUAGCUUCUACCUUGAUUGGUGGAUCAUGUGCAAUUCCUUAAUUGGUGGGACUUGACCGGAGCAAGCAUGGCCCUCCCUUGAUUGGUGGGACUUGACUAGAGCAAGUGAGGUGAGCCAGGUCAGUAGAUGGGGACUUGGAGAUGCUGGUGCGCAGAUCAACCUAUGUUAACGCAUAUAAUAUGGGCCAUAUAAUAUUAUUAAAAAAAUAUUCAUACGUUCUUCCAUUUGGCCCAUAUGACAAAUAUGUUUCCUAGUUUAAUGAAGGGGUAAUAACAAUUUUGGUCAUUAAAAUUAGAGUCGAAUUUUGAUUAUCGAAAUUUCAAUUUUUCAAUAUUGGUAAUUGUAUUUGCAUGUGUUAGCAAAUGAAGUCAUAUGCUUCAAUUUCGCCAAUUUCAUUAAUUAAAAAAGGGGUAAUUAUAAUUUUGGUCAUUGUGGUUAGGGUCGUAUUUAAUUUUGG